ACGCGUGCACUUUUUCCGCGCGCAGAGCUGACGACCGGCUGGGAGUCUACCAAAAGGCUGACCGGCAGGUUCCUCCUACAGUUCUCGGACUCGGGAGAGCUUACAGCCGGCUUGCAACGGCUAGACGCCCGGUCGAGGAAGGGUAUCCGCGCCUGCCCCGCCGUGGGCUGGGCCCCCUGUCUCCCGCAGGUUGCGUCGGAGCGGGACUGUCCUCAGUGUCGUUCCGGUGCAGCCUACGGCUGCGCAGAUCGGGUCUCAUCAGGCGCUUCGGGUCGGUCAGCGAGGUCGGUCGCCCACCCGACCCGUCUUGAAACACGGACCAAGGAGUCUAACACGCCCGCGAGUCGUAGGGACUGGAAGCCCGAAGGCGCAAUGAAAGUGAAGGCCGGCCCGUCUGGCCGAGGUGGGAUCCCGUCGCUCGGCGGCGGGCGCACCMCUGCCCCGUCUCGAUCGCUUCCGUCGACGAGGCGGAGGAGGAGCGUGUGCGUUAGGACCCGAAAGAUGGUGAACUAUGCCUGAGCAGGACGAAGCCAGAGGAAACUCUGGUGGAAGUGCCGCAGCGAUUCUGACGUGCAAAUCGAUCGUC
rnacentral:rRNA from 1 species